rnacentral:misc_RNA from 1 species
GAUGAAGAACGCAGUGAAAUGCGAUAAGUAGUGUGAAUUGCAGAAUUCAGUGAAUCAUCGAAUCUUUGAACGCACAUUGCGCCCUGGGGUAUUCCCCAGGGCAUGCCUGUUCGAGCGUCAUUUCAACCAUCAAGCCCCUUAGCUUGUGUUGGGGACCUGCGGCUGCCGCAGCCCCCGAAAUGCAGUGGCGGGCUCGUUGUCACACCGAGUGCAGUAAUCAUUCUUCUCUCCGGGCGUGGCGGCGGGUUCCGGCCGUAAAAUCACCAAUUUAUCAAGGUUGACCUCGGAUCAGGUAGGAAUACCCGCUGAACUUAAGCAUAUCAAUAAGCGGAGGA